GAUGAACGCUGGCGGCGUGCCUAAUACAUGCAAGUCGAGCGAACAGACGAGGAGCUUGCUCCUCUGACGUUAGCGGCGGACGGGUGAGUAACACGUGGAUAACCUGCCUAUAAGACUGGGAUAACUUCGGGAAACCGGAGCUAAUACCGGAUAAUAUAUUGAACCGCAUGGUUCAAUAGUGAAAGACGGUUUUGCUGUCACUUCUAGAUGGAUCCGCGCCGCAUUAGCUAGUUGGUAAGGUAACGGCUUACCAAGGCAACGAUGCGUAGCCGACCUGAGAGGGUGAUCGGCCACACUGGAACUGAGACACGGUCCAGACUCCUACGGGAGGCAGCAGUAGGGAAUCUUCCGCAAUGGGCGAAAGCCUGACGGAGCAACGCCGCGUGAGUGAUGAAGGUCUUCGGAUCGUAAAACUCUGUUAUUAGGGAAGAACAAAUGUGUAAGUAACUAUGCACGUCUUGACGGUACCUAAUCAGAAAGCCACGGCUAACUACGUG
rnacentral:rRNA from 1 species